rnacentral:pre_miRNA from 14 species
GCUGCUGUUGGGAGACCCUGGUCUGCACUCUAUCUGUGUGCUUACUGAAGGGAGUGCAGGGCAGGGUUUCCCAUACAGAGGGC